CCUACGGGAGGCAGCAGUGAGGAAUAUUGGUCAAUGGGCGUAAGCCUGAACCAGCCAAGUCGCGUGAGGGAUGAAGGUUCUAUGGAUCGUAAACCUCUUUUAUAAGGGAAUAAAGUGUGGGACGUGUCCUGUUUUGUAUGUACCUUAUGAAUAAGGAUCGGCUAACUCCGGGCCAGCAGCCGCGGUAAUACGGAGGAACCGAGCGUUAUCCGGAUUUAUUGGGUUUAAAGGGUGCGUAGGCGGCCUUUUAAGUCAGCGGUGAAAGUCUGUGGCUCAACCAUAGAAUUGCCGUUGAAACUGGGAGGCUUGAGUAUGUUUGAGGCAGGCGGAAUGCGUGGUGUAGCGGUGAAAUGCUUAGAUAUCACGCAGAACCCCGAUUGCGAAGGCAGCCUGCCAAGCCAUGACUGACGCUGAUGCACGAAAGCGUGGGGAUCAAACAGGAUUAGAUACCCCAGUAGUC
rnacentral:rRNA from 1 species